UAAACCAUGUGAUCACCCUUGCGCCCGACAGAGUCUCUGUAAUGAAAGCUCGGGAAGUUAUGAAGAGAAAGGAGACGAUCCCAGUGAUUAAUGCCAAAGCCCUGUUGCCUGUGGAGAGGGUGAUGUUUGACUUUCUUGUACAGCUGCAGUUUGUGUGGUGAAGGUGCUCCCACAAUGGGGUUGGAUCCCAGUGAUUAAUGUCAAAGCCCCAUUGCCUGGGGAGAGGGUGAUGUUUGACUUCCUUGUACAGCUGCAGUUUGUGUGGUGAAGGUGCUCCCACAAUGUGGUUGGGUGGACAUUCAGAUGGUAACCUCAGUAUUUGUAACACCAAACUCUGACAGAAUUACUCAAUUCAUCAGGACCUGGAUAUUUGCAUUUAGUUGGUACUGAAAGGGUGGAUUUGUGGAUGAAAAAUUCAAAUUGAGCUUCAUGUUCAGACCUGAUGGUUACUGGAUCCGUGCCGAUCUGAAUAUC